rnacentral:miRNA from 1 species
GGCGGUGGCCGCCGCUCUGGGAGU